rnacentral:lncRNA from 1 species
UGUUGAUUGCUUUUGGUUGGAAUUUGAUUGCUCUCAAAUUUCUAUUUAAAAAGGCUUUAGAAAACAAAAAAGAAAAUAAAAAAAAGAGGGGAAAACCCUUCCUCUUGGCCAAAGGCUAGCUUCUCCUCCCCCUCGGCCCACUCCCUCCAUCUUCCCUGCGGCCCAACUCUCGUAGCCCAGCAGCCAAGGCCGAUCCCCUUCUCCGCGUUGGGCCACCGCGGCUCCCCGGCCCAGCAGUUCCGGCCCAAGCACGCGCGCCCUCCUCUCUCCCUAUCUGGCUGAUGCUCUGGCCCCACCUAGCAGCGCCUUCCUUCUUCUCCCCCGCGUGGCCGAGCCGGGCUCCCCUUCGAACCGGCCGGAACUGAUCCCGCAAAGCACGGGAUUUCUUGCUUGUGGAGCCAACCGAUGCCCUACAAAGCUCUCUCUCCACCCCGCAGUUCCCUUUUCGCAUCCAAGUCAUCCCAACUAAGCCCUAGCUUCGUGUUUCGUCGGUUUUGGAUCUCGCCGACUCCCUCUCUACCUCCCCACGUGGCCACACUACUCCGGGCUCUCUCCGGCCGAAAGAAGACUCU